GCUGCUGUAGUGUAAUGGUAUCACAACACGUUGUGGCCGUGUUAAUCUCAGUUCGAUUCUGGGCAGCAGCA
rfam:Clohesyomyces aquaticus strain CBS 115471 BCR34scaffold_91, whole genome shotgun sequence.